rnacentral:tRNA from 1 species
GUCCCUGUAGCGCAAUGGACAGCGCGUUGGACCUCUAAUUCAAAAGUCGUGGGUGAGAAUCCCACCUGGAAUG